rnacentral:tRNA from 1 species
GGGGGCGGAUGUANCCAAGUGGAUUAAGGCAGUGG